GAUUCCUGCACCACCAUCAAAUAUCCGCCUCAAGUGGAAUAAACAUAGACCUUUUUUCUUUCUGCAAUAGCAGAGACCAAGUAUAUCUCCUUCCCAACACUCCAAUUCAGUAGUCAAUUGGAUAAUUGGACACAGCAACCCGAAUUGAUACCAUUCAACUCCCUCAGCUUGUUGAUAAUUCCAACCGAAAUCCACAGAUAACAUUCACGGCACCGAGCGCUUUACAGAUCAACUGUGGAAUAGAGACUACAACAGACAGGAAAUAUUCUAUGAGACGCUCUGCACUUUAUAAUUAUAUUUAUACUAAAUAUAUUUUUUACAGCCAAUAAAUAUCAAUUGUUUUAACCAG